UACGGGGGGAGCAAGCGUUGUUCGGAUUUAUUGGGCGUAAAGGGCGCGUAGGCGGUCGUGACAAGUCACUUGUGAAAUCUCCGGGCUUAACUCGGAACGGUCAAGUGAUACUGUCGGACUAGAGUACAGAAGGGGCAACUGGAAUUCUCGGUGUAGCGGUGAAAUGCGUAGAUAUCGAGAGGAACACCUGCGGCGAAGGCGAGUUGCUGGGCUGAUACUGACGCUGAGGCGCGAAAGCGUGGGGAGCGAACAGG
rnacentral:rRNA from 1 species